GCGGGGGUAGUUCAUCGGUAGAACGUCUCCUUGCCAAGGAGAAGGCAGCGGGUCCAAUUCCCGUCCCCCGCU
rnacentral:tRNA from 1 species